UUUUAUUACGCAUGUUUUUCGGGGCUUUAAAAUUGGGAGUACGACCGAUGCUAAUUUCGGUGCUGGAAAAGAGGCGGCGUGUGUGUGUUUGUGCUCGCGACGCGCAUGUCCUGCAGGGCAGCGCUAUCUCACCCGAGUAUCGAGGGUUAACUGGAAUUCUGCUGACUGAUCACAACCGCAGGGGCUGGCGGAGACGCCGUCUCCUCCUCAGUGUUGGUUUCACCAGCUGCCUGGAACCUGGGUCCAAAUCGAGGCUUGUGUUACAGGUUUCAGGACGGGAGACGCUGGUGUUCCGAGAUCGGAUCGCCCGAGAAGCCUCCCCUUCCCUCUCUCCUACUUUUCAUGCUGCUAAAUCCUCCCUUUCUUAUCUGCAUUUUGCCGCCAGUGCUGCGAGGUGGAAUAGCUGCUGUUUGACCCCGCGAUUGAGCCACAGCAUCAAGGCAGACAGCACUGUACGUCCUGUUUCUCCAUACAAGAAGAAGGAGAAUGGAAAGAGAGUCUAGCUUUAAUUCUUCAGGUGACCCCCCCCGCCUACUUUUCAGUUCACCUUUUUUCGUCCCCCUCCCCCCGAGGG